GAUGAACGCUAGCUACAGGCUUAACACAUGCAAGUCGAGGGGAAACGACAUCGAAAGCUUGCUUUUGAUGGGCGUCGACCGGCGCACGGGUGAGUAACGCGUAUCCAACCUGCCCACCACUUGGGGAUAACCUUGCGAAAGUAAGACUAAUACCCCAUGGUCUCCACGGAUGGCAUCUGAAAUGGAGUAAAGGUUUCGGCCGGUUGCGGAUGGGGAUGCGUCCGAUUAGCUUGACGGCGGGGUAACGGCCCACCGUGGCAUCGAUCGGUAGGGGUUCUGAGAGGAAGGUCCCCCCACAUUGGAACUGAGACACGGUCCAAACUCCUACGGGAGGCAGCAGUGAGGAAUAUUGGUCAAUGGGCGAGAGCCUGAACCAGCCAAGUAGCGUGCAGGAUGACGGCCCUAUGGUUGUAAACUGCUUUUAUAAGGGAAUAAAGUGAGUCUCGUGAGACUUUUUGCAUGUACCUUAUGAAUAGGACCGGCUAAUUCCGUGCCA
rnacentral:rRNA from 1 species